ACGGAAACAAGAUGACGAAGGGGACGUCAUCGUUUGGAAAGCGUCGCAAUAAGACGCACACGUUGUGCCGCCGCUGUGGCUCGAAGGCCUACCACCUUCAGAAGUCCACCUGUGGCAAAUGCGGCUAUCCCGCCAAGCGCAAGAGCAAGUAUAACUGGAGUGCCAUGGCUAAAAGACAAAACACCACUGGGACGGGUCGAAUGAGGCUCCGCAGAUUCAGGCAUGGAUUCUGUGAAGGAAAAACACCUAAGCCCAAGAGGGCAGCUGUUGCAGCAUCCAGUUCAUCUUAAGGAUUUCAAUGAUUAGUCACACAAUAAA